CAAACAGAUGAUACUCUUUCCUGGCAUUCGUUUACCGUUUUCAUUUUUACCUCGCUGUUUACAUUUACCUCGCUUUUUACAAUGGCUAGCCAAGGAACUGAAUAGGAAGAGGCGGCUGCACAAUCCUAAAAUCGCGAUUAAGCUCGCCAUAUAAUGAGAUGGUCACCUCAUUUUAGUAGGAGCACUGUCCAUAAGCCCAGAACUGUCCGAUGAAGGCCUGGAUAAAAAUGACUUUGUUGUUGCCUGCAAGACAUACUACAAGACCGUGAGUAGAAAUUUCCGGGAUAGCCAGCCAGAGCUAUCAAAUGUGUCUGCAGCUAAUAAGACCUCAGCCCAGAGUCGCCAGAGGAGGAAGAGGGUAAGACAGAUUAGAAUUAAAUUCAUUUUACUUAUUGUGAGACGAAGAAGACGGUGCUGUUGAUGGAGUCUCGGGGUGGAUUGUGAGACCUCCAUUGUUCUGCAGCCAGGAGCUCAGAAAUCUGUGUGCUAAGCUGAAGGCGAGACUAGAAGCCAGUCCAAGGUGUGCAGCACUGCAUCACCGGCAUCUGUGAACUGGGCUGCCUUCUAACAGAACACCAUCGCAUACCUCUGACCCCGAGGCAGCAAAAACACAUUUGAUGCCAAACGUGAUGCCAUGAAAAUAAUCUCUGGCUACUUUUUGUGUAUUUAUUUUUCAUAUGUCUAUUAAAUAAAACUCUUCAAUUUUAUCUUCCUAAUUCUAAUAUUUACUAUUAGCCUUUCUGACACCUAUAUUGUUAUAAUAUCUCUUUAACGAUUUUUUAUAGAUUAAUAUAAUAAAUAAAUAUAAAUAAAAAUUAUAUAUGUAUAUAUAUAUAACAAAAGGGAAAAGAUAUUUCUAUUUUGAAAAUUGUGCUUUCAUCCAGUAGGUACUGUAGAACAUUCAAAGUGGUUUCACUCAAAUGCUAAUUCACAUUUUGCACCUUGUACCUCCACACACACCUCCCUCCCCAUACACCCCAUGGUAUGAUAACGACUGUUUCUGUCACUCGCGAACAGGAACUUCCCAGGCUGUGAAUUGUCGAUAACUGCCAGUGAUUAGAGAAGUCAUCAGGCAUUCACAGGGACGAAAAUCUGCCUUUUCAUGCAGUGUAAAAAGCCAAAAUAUCACUCAGGAACUGUGGUGCCAAACAAUUUGGUGCUUUAUAGUUUAGUUAUAGUAUUUUAUAAUUAAUGUGACAUUUGAUUGGUAGCCAAUGCAGUGUGGUUAAGAUAGGAGUGAUGUGUUCAUAUCCUCUGGUUCUAGUUAGGACUCUAGCUGCUGCAUUCUGGACUAACUGGAACUUGUUUAUGCUCCUACUGGAACAUCCAGACAGUAAGACAUUACAAUAAUCCAAACUAGAGGUAACAAAAGCAUGAACUAAUUUUUCUGCAUCAUGAAGUGACAUCAUAUUUCUUAUCUUAGCAAUAUUCCUAAGAUGGAAGAAGGCUACCCGAGUGAUAUUAUCUACAUGAGCUUCAAACAAAAGACCAGAAUCAAUAAUCACACCAAGAUCUUUUACUCCUGGACAAGAUGAAACCAAAAGACCAUCCACCGUUACUCUGUAAUCAGAAAGCUCACUUCUAGCUGCAUGUGGUUCUAGUACUAGCACCUCUGUCUUGUCUGAAUUAAGCAGGAGGAAGUUAGUGACCAUCCAGUGUCUAAUGUCCUUUACACAUUCUUCUAUCUUAAUAAGCUGGUGUCUCUCAUCUGACUUAGCUGAGACAUAUAGCUGUGUGUCGUCAGCAUAACAGUGGAAGCUAAUACCAUGUUUAUGAAUAAUUGCACCAAGGGGUAGCAUAUAUAGGGAGAAAAGCAGUGGGCCUAAAACAGAACCUUGUGGAACACCAAACAUAACCUUGGUAGGCAUAGAGAAGUCACCAUCUAGAUCUACAAACUGAUAACGGUCAGUCAAAUAAGACCUGAGCUUUACUAUGUUAGCGUCACUCACCGGAAGUGCUGACAAAAAAAAACAAAUUGAUAGAGAGAAAAAGAAACAGAGACUGUCUGUGAAUAAAGCUUGAGAUUUUCAAGAAAAGAAAAGUUAUUUUAGAAAAAAUAACUGAAGUUUUUUCCAUAAGGAUUAAAUAAAGUAGAUUAGUUAUCUAGAGCUAAAUUACUAAUCAAUUUUGGAGCAUGUAAAGAAACAUAACCGUUUAUGCCCUUGUUCAUCGCGAGCAUUGAGCUGAAGUUAAGAAAGUCAUUGCUGUAAUUGUGGUGUAAAAGAUUUGUAAAACACAGUCAAUUCAGAGGAAUCAGUGAGUUACAGAUUUAUUUUUGUGCAUCUGAUGUGCUGUAAAAACUAUGUGCUGUAUUCCUAUGUGCAUUAAAUUGAAGUAAUACGUUCAUUGUAUGUUAAGUAUGGCCUAUGCUGUAAGUAAUGAACAUUAAUUUUGGCAAAUACUGUUGACAGAGUAUGUGAGGUCUCUAAGAAUGUUAUCCUGUGUGUACAGGCCAGUUUUGUUAUAUGCAUUGAAGUUUGGAUUUUCUGCUGUGAGUUACAUACCUGGUGUGAAUGCAUCAUGCCGCAUUGAGAAACAAGGAUGGCGAGCGAGUCUGAACCUUCAACUUUUUUGUUUUUUUCAUUGAUUCACAGUCUGUUCUGCCAACAGAUUUUUCUCUUUCAACAUUUUUCUGAUUUUGACUGAAUGGACUGCAGUAGUUUAUGAACUUGAUUUGAAUCAUUGAAUGUACUGAGGUAAAUGACCUUUAUUGUAUGCUAUUGUAAGACUUUUGUUCACAUUUUGUUUGUUUAGAAAUAUUUUUUUUCCUGACUGAUCUGGUUUAUAAAAUAUUACACAUUGUCAAGAUAUCUUGUGACUGGUUAAUUUUGCUAUUGAUUGUGGGUUGAAAUCGUAAUUUGAAUUUGUUUAUUUAAAACCAAAUAGUUAUUUAAUUACAGUAAAGCAGAACUUGUCUUAAAAUCGAAACCAAAUUUAUUCAUUGACAAUCAAAUUUAAUUAAGAGGACUAAAAGUUACAAGACACAACCAAAAAUUUCAUUAAGAUUAAAAGGGGAAUUAUCGGCUAAAGUGUUUUUUUUUUUAUUUAUUUUUUUAUUGAA